UACGAAGGGGGCUAGCGUUGCUCGGAAUCACUGGGCGUAAAGGGUGCGUAGGCGGGUUUUUAAGUCAGAGGUGAAAUCCUGGAGCUCAACUCCAGAACUGCCUUUGAUACUGAAAGUCUUGAGUAUGGGAGAGGUGAGUGGAACUGCGAGUGUAGAGGUGAAAUUCGUAGAUAUUAGGAAGAACACCGGUGGCGAAGGCGGCAUCCUGGACCGAAACUGACACUGAGGCGCGAAAGCCAGGGGAGCAAACGGG
rnacentral:rRNA from 1 species